AAGUCGUAACAAGGUUUCCGUAGGUGAACCUGCGGAAGGAUCAUUACCUUUCUGGCUAUUUAAUAGCUUGUGCUGGGGCUGUCAGUUUCUGCCAGUCCCUGACUCACUUAUCCGUGUUUUUGCGUACUUACAUGUUGCCUCGGCGGGCUUGCUUGCCGGAUUGGACAACAUAAACUCUUUGCAAUUGCAAUCAGCGUCUGAAUUAUAUAAUAAUUACAA
rnacentral:misc_RNA from 1 species